AAGCCCGUUGCUCAACAACGGAACUGCCCUGGAAACUGGAGGACUUGAGUACAGACGAGGGUGGCGGAAUGGAUGCUGUAGCGGUGAAAUGCAUAGAUAGCAUCCAGAACCCCGAUUGCGAAGGCAGCUGCCUAGACUGUAACUGACGCUGAGGCACGAAAGCGUGGGAGCGAACAGGAUUAGAUACCCUGGUAGUCCACGCCGUAAAACGAUGGAUACUCGCUGGUGGCGAUAGACGGUCACUGRCUUUAGCGAAAGCGUUAAGUAUCCCACCUGGGGAGUACGCUCSCAAGAGUGAAACUCAAAAGAAUUGACGGGGGCCGCACAAGUGGUGGAGCAUGUGGUUUUAAUUCGAUGAUACGCGAGGAACCUUACCUAGGCUAGAAUGCGCGUGACCGCCUCAGAGAUGAGGCUUUCCUUCGGGACACAAAGCAAGGUGCUGCAUGGCCGUCGUCAGCUCGUGCCGUGAGGUGUUGGGUUAAGUCCCGCAACGAGCGCAACCCCUAUGUUUAGUUG
rnacentral:rRNA from 1 species